rnacentral:rRNA from 1 species
UACGUAGGUGGCAAGCGUUGUCCGGAUUUAUUGGGUUUAAAGGGUGCGUAGGCGGCUUUGUAAGUCAGUGGUGAAAUAUGGCAGCUCAACUGUCAGGGUGCCAUUGAUACUGCGGAGCUUGAGUACAGAUGAGGUAGGCGGAAUUGACGGUGUAGCGGUGAAAUGCUUAGAUAUCUGGGGGAACACCGGUGGCGAAGGCGGCAUCCUGGACCGGCAUUGACGCUGAGGCGCGAAAGCCAGGGGAGCAAACGGG